rnacentral:lncRNA from 1 species
GUGAACUAACAGGGAAAUCUGAUUUCAAGUCUUGUCAGAGGAAUUUUUAAACGAUAUAAGAAUUGAUGGACGGCGCAAUUCAAGCUAUUCUAAGUCCAGUCAUGCAUGUGUCUGCGAUAUUGAAGCUGGUACAUGAGAGACCUUGUGAUAUUUGAGGAUGCAGGAUACGGACUUUUCCAGGACAGCAGGCGACCUCCUCCAUCAGUCAUCAUCUCCGUCAAGCUGACCGGGGCUCUAACUUUCCCUGAAAUCAUGCACAUGACAGUAAAGGACUUUUCCACUGCAGAGAUGUUUUAAAAG